GAUGAACGCUGGCGGCGUGCCUAAUACAUGCAAGUCGAGCGAACAGACGAGGAGCUUGCUCCUCUGACGUUAGCGGCGGACGGGUGAGUAACACGUGGAUAACCUACCUAUAAGACUGGGAUAACUUCGGGAAACCGGAGCUAAUACCGGAUAAUAUAUUGAACCGCAUGGUUCAAUAGUGAAAGACGGUUUUGCUGUCACUUAUAGAUGGAUCGGCGCCGCAUUAGCUAGUUGGUAAGGUAACGGCUUACCAAGGCAACGAUGCGUAGCCCACCUGAGAGGGUGAUCGGCCACACUGAAACUGAGACACGGUCCAGACUCCUACGGGAGGCAGCAGUAGGGAAUCUUCCGCAAUGGGCGAAAGCUUGACGGAGCAACGCCGCAUGAGUGAUGAAGGUCUUCGGAUCGUAAAACUCUGUUAUUAGGGAAGAACAAAUGUGUAAGUAACUAUGCACGUCUUGACGGUACCUAAUCAGAAAGCCACGGCUAACUACGUG
rnacentral:rRNA from 1 species